UUGUUGGAAACAGGCUGACCUCAUACUUGCUGUGGUCCUGCCUCAGGUUCCUGAGUGCUGACUGCAGGAAGUGCGUCUCUUGCACUUCUCAAGCUCUGAAUCUGGGUGUUCUUGCAAGAACUCUAUUUUUCUUCUUUACUUUAGAUUAUGAUAAAUAUUAUGAAGGUGCUGAAUUCUGUUACUUAGUUGGCACAUCAUGUACCAAGGUAUAGUACACUUACCAUUUUAAAUUAUUGCAAGAAAUUCAUAAGAUACAUCAUAUUAUUGCUAUUUUAUUUAAUUGGAUGCUCCUGGGUCUAAACCUAUAGAACUCUUAAGUAAGUACACCACAGAUACACUUGUACAUUCAUAUUUAUUGCAAUGCUAUUUGUAAUAGCCAAAUUAUUUAGGUGUCCAUAAAUGGAGGGAUAAAUAAAUAAAAUAUAGUAAUAUGCACAGUAAAGUUUUAUUCAGUCAUAAAGAAUAAUAUAAUGAUGUUAUUUUCUGGGAAAACAGAUACAACUUGAGAUCAUCAUACUGAGUAAAAUAAACCAAAUUGAAAAAAUGGAAAAUAUGUUUUCUUUCAUUUGCAGAUCCUAGACUUCAGUAGAUUAUAUAAAAGUAUGUGCGUUCGUGCGUGCGUGCGUGCGUGCGCUCACUCACUUGCACAUGCGCUGUGUGCACUCACAUGGACACAGACAUACACACACACACACACACACACACACACACACACACACACAUCAUUGAAGCAGAAGGGUGGCUGGCUAAGGAAGUAGGCCAGGUUGGGGUGGGGCAGGAGAUACGGCCAAAGCACGUGAUGUACUUGAGAGUAAUUGUUAGGCUGCCGAGCACUGUGUACAGUGAAUGGACCACAGCAGAGAGGAGGGGAAGGAGCGGGUCAUAUCACAGGAGCUUUCAUCCUUAGCUGUAGAAUCUUUACAUAUAAAAAAUUAUGUGUACACAUUUAUAAUUGC
rnacentral:lncRNA from 1 species